rnacentral:rRNA from 1 species
ACGGCUCAGUAACACGUGGAUAACCUGCCCUUGGGUCCGGCAUAACCCCGGGAAACUGGGGAUAAUUCCGGAUAACGCACAUAUGCUGGAAUGCUUUAUGCGUCAAAUGGAUUCGUCUGCCCAAGGAUGGGUCUGCGGCCUAUCAGGUAGUAGUGGGUGUAAUGUACCUACUAGCCGACGACGGGUACGGGUUGUGAGAGCAAGAGCCCGGAGAUGGAUUCUGAGACAUGAAUCCAGGCCCUACGGGGCGCAGCAGGCGCGAAAACUUUACAAUGCGGGAAACCGUGAUAAGGGGACACCGAGUGCCAGCGUCCUACGCUGGCUGUCCAGGUGUGUAAAAUACACCUGUUAGCAAGGGCCGGGCAAGACCGGUGCCAGCCGCCGCGGUAACACCGGCGGCCCGAGUGGUGAUCGUGAUUAUUGGGUCUAAAGGGUCCGUAGCCGGUUUGGUCAGUCCUCCGGGAAAUCUGAUAGCUCAACUAUUAGGCUUUCGGGGGAUACUGCCAGACUUGGAACCGGGAGAGGUAAGAGGUACUACAGGGGUAGGAGUGAAAUCUUGUAAUCCCUGUGGGACCACCUGUGGCGAAGGCGUCUUACCAGAACGGGUUCGACGGUGAGGGACGAAAGCUGGGGGCACGAACCGGAUUAGAUACCCGGGUAGUCCCAGCCGUAAACGAUGCUCGCUAGGUGUCACGCAUGGCGCGACCGUGUCUGGUGCCGCAGGGAAGCCGUGAAGCGAGCCACCUGGGAAGUACGGCCGCAAGGCUGAAACUUAAAGGAAUUGGCGGGGGAG